GGUUGGGGCUCAGUGGUUAAGAGCACUGGCUGCUCUUCCAGAGGACCCGGGUUCAAUUCCCAGCAACCA
rnacentral:tRNA from 1 species